AGUGAACGCUGGCGGUAGGCCUAACACAUGCAAGUCGAACGGCAGCACAGUAAGAGCUUGCUCUUACGGGUGGCGAGUGGCGGACGGGUGAGGAAUACAUCGGAAUCUACUUUUUCGUGGGGGAUAACGUAGGGAAACUUACGCUAAUACCGCAUACGACCUACGGGUGAAAGCAGGGGAUCUUCGGACCUUGCGCGAUUGAAUGAGCCGAUGUCGGAUUAGCUAGUUGGCGGGGUAAAGGCCCACCAAGGCGACGAUCCGUAGCUGGUCUGAGAGGAUGAUCAGCCAACCGGGAACUGGACACCGGCCCAGACUCCUACGGGGGGCAGCGGUGGGGAAUAUUGGAAAAGGGGGGCAAGCCUAAUCCAGCCAUCCCGGGGGGGUGAAGAAGGCCUUCGGGUUGUAAACCCUUUUUGUUGGGAAAAAAAAGCAGCAGGUUAAUCCCCCGCUUUUCUGCCGGGACCAAAAAAAUAAGCCCCGGCUAACUUCGU
rnacentral:rRNA from 1 species